rnacentral:rRNA from 1 species
GGGUUGUGAGGUUAAGCGACUAAGCGUACACGGUGGAUGCCCUGGCAGUCAGAGGCGAUGAAGGGCGUGCUAAUCUGCGAUAAGCGCCGGUAAGGUGAUAUGAACCGUUAUAACCGGCGAUACCCGAAUGGGGAAACCCAGUGUGACUCGUCACACUAUCAUUAACUGAAUCCAUAGGUUAAUGAGGCGAACCGGGGGAACUGAAACAUCUAAGUACCCCGAGGAAAAGAAAUCAACCGAGAUUCCCCCAGUAGCGGCGAGCGAACGGGGAGGAGCCCAGAGCCUGAAUCAGCAUGUGUGUUAGUGGAAGCGUCUGGAAAGGCGCGCGAUACAGGGUGACAGCCCCGUACACAAAAGCGCAUGUGCUGUGAGCUCGAUGAGUAGGGCGGGACACGUGGUAUCCUGUCUGAAUAUGGGGGGACCAUCCUCCAAGGCUAAAUACUCCUGACUGACCGAUAGUGAACCAGUACCGUGAGGGAAAGGCGAAAAGAACCCCGGCGAGGGGAGUGAAAAAGAACCUGAAACCGUGUACGUACAAGCAGUGGGAGCACAGGUUUACCUGUGUGACUGCGUACCUUUUGUAUAAUGGGUCAGCGACUUAUAUUCUGUAGCAAGGUUAACCGUAUAGGGGAGCCGUAGGGAAACCGAGUCUUAACCGGGCGUUAAGUUGCAGGGUAUAGACCCGAAACCCGGUGAUCUAGCCAUGGGCAGGUUGAAGGUUGGGUAACACUAACUGGAGGACCGAACCGACUAAUGUUGAAAAAUUAGCGGAUGACCUGUGGCUGGGGGUGAAAGGCCAAUCAAACCGGGAGAUAGCUGGUUCUCCCCGAAAGCUAUUUAGGUAGCGCCUCGUGAAUUCAUCUCCGGGGGUAGAGCACUGUUUCGGCUAGGGGGCCAUCCCGGCUUACCAACCCGAUGCAAACUGCGAAUACCGGAGAAUGUUAUCACGGGAGACACACGGCGGGUGCUAACGUCCGUCGUGAAGAGGGAAACAACCCAGACCGCCAGCUAAGGUCCCAAAGUCAUGGUUAAGUGGGAAACGAUGUGGGAAGGCCCAGACAGCCAGGAUGUUGGCUUAGAAGCAGCCAUCAUUUAAAGAAAGCGUAAUAGCUCACUGGUCGAGUCGGCCUGCGCGGAAGAUGUAACGGGGCUAAACCAUGCACCGAAGCUGCGGCAGCGACGCUGAUGCGUUGUUGGGUAGGGGAGCGUUCUGUAAGCCUGCGAAGGUGGCCUGUGAGGGUUGCUGGAGGUAUCAGAAGUGCGAAUGCUGACAUAAGUAACGAUAAAGCGGGUGAAAAGCCCGCUCGCCGGAAGACCAAGGGUUCCUGUCCAACGUUAAUCGGGGCAGGGUGAGUCGACCCCUAAGGCGAGGCCGAAAGGCGUAGUCGAUGGGAAACGGGUUAAUAUUCCCGUACUUGGUGUUACUGCGAAGGGGGGACGGAGAAGGCUAUGUUGGCCGGGCGACGGUUGUCCCGGUUUAAGCGUGUAGGUGUGUGUUCCAGGUAAAUCCGGUUCACUUUAACACUGAGGCGUGAUGACGAGGCACUACGGUGCUGAAGCAACAAAUGCCCUGCUUCCAGGAAAAGCCUCUAAGCAUCAGGUAACAUCAAAUCGUACCCCAAACCGACACAGGUGGUCAGGUAGAGAAUACCAAGGCGCUUGAGAGAACUCGGGUGAAGGAACUAGGCAAAAUGGUGCCGUAACUUCGGGAGAAGGCACGCUGACACGUAGGUGAAGUGAUUUACUCACGGAGCUGAAGUCAGUCGAAGAUACCAGCUGGCUGCAACUGUUUAUUAAAAACACAGCACUGUGCAAACACGAAAGUGGACGUAUACGGUGUGACGCCUGCCCGGUGCCGGAAGGUUAAUUGAUGGGGUCAGCGCAAGCGAAGCUCCUGAUCGAAGCCCCGGUAAACGGCGGCCGUAACUAUAACGGUCCUAAGGUAGCGAAAUUCCUUGUCGGGUAAGUUCCGACCUGCACGAAUGGCGUAAUGAUGGCCAGGCUGUCUCCACCCGAGACUCAGUGAAAUUGAACUCGCUGUGAAGAUGCAGUGUACCCGCGGCAAGACGGAAAGACCCCGUGAACCUUUACUAUAGCUUGACACUGAACAUUGAGCCUUGAUGUGUAGGAUAGGUGGGAGGCUUUGAAGUGUGGACGCCAGUCUGCAUGGAGCCGACCUUGAAAUACCACCCUUUAAUGUUUGAUGUUCUAACGUGGACCCGUAAUCCGGGUUGCGGACAGUGUCUGGUGGGUAGUUUGACUGGGGCGGUCUCCUCCUAAAGAGUAACGGAGGAGCACGAAGGUUGGCUAAUCCUGGUCGGACAUCAGGAGGUUAGUGCAAUGGCAUAAGCCAGCUUGACUGCGAGCGUGACGGCGCGAGCAGGUGCGAAAGCAGGUCAUAGUGAUCCGGUGGUUCUGAAUGGAAGGGCCAUCGCUCAACGGAUAAAAGGUACUCCGGGGAUAACAGGCUGAUACCGCCCAAGAGUUCAUAUCGACGGCGGUGUUUGGCACCUCGAUGUCGGCUCAUCACAUCCUGGGGCUGAAGUAGGUCCCAAGGGUAUGGCUGUUCGCCAUUUAAAGUGGUACGCGAGCUGGGUUUAGAACGUCGUGAGACAGUUCGGUCCCUAUCUGCCGUGGGCGCUGGAGAACUGAGGGGGGCUGCUCCUAGUACGAGAGGACCGGAGUGGACGCAUCACUGGUGUUCGGGUUGUCAUGCCAAUGGCACUGCCCGGUAGCUAAAUGCGGAAGAGAUAAGUGCUGAAAGCAUCUAAGCACGAAACUUGCCCCGAGAUGAGUUCUCCCUGAGACUUAAAGUCUCCUGAAGGAACGUUGAAGACGACGACGUUGAUAGGCCGGGUGUGUAAGCGCAGCGAUGCGUUGAGCUAACCGGUACUAAUGAACCGUGAGGCUUAACCUUACAACGCCGAAG